rnacentral:tRNA from 1 species
CGUUCCAUAGUGUAGCGGUUAGCACGUUUGAUUUACACGCAGAAGGUCCUGAGUUCGAGCCCCAGUCAAGCCA